UGGGUAACCUGCCUCAAAGAGGGGAAUAGCCUCCCCGAAAAGGGAGAUUAAUACCGCAUAAUAUGUUUUAAUCGCAUGAUUUUAACAUCAAAGGAUUUUCUUUUAGAACUUCCACUUUGAGAUGGACCCGCGGCGCAUUAGCUAGUUGGUGAGGUAACGGCUCACCAAGGCAACGAUGCGUAGCCGACCUGAGAGGGUGAUCGGCCACAGUUGGAACUGAGACACGGUCCAGACCUCCGUAGGGAGG
rnacentral:rRNA from 1 species